GGACGGGAUUGGAGAGCUUGCUUUCCAUGAGAGUGGCGCACGGGUGCGUAACACGUAUGUAACCUACCUUUAUCAGGGGGAUAGCCUCUCGAAAGAGAGAUUAAGCCCGCAUAAAAUCACACUAUGGCAUCAUAGAAUGAUCAAAUAUUUAUAGGAUAAAGAUGGGCAUGCGGAACAUUAGCUAGUUGGUAAGGUAACGGCUUACCAAGGCUACGAUGUUUAGGGGAUCUGAGAGGAUGACCCCCCACACUGGUACUGAGACACGGACCAGACUCCUACGGGAGGCAGCAGUAAGGAAUAUUGGUCAAUGGGCGGAAGCCUGAACCAGCCAUGCCGCGUGCAGGAAGACGGCCCUACGGGUUGUAAACUGCUUUUAUACGGGAAUAAACCUCGAUUCGUGAAUCGAGCUGAAUGUACUGUAAGAAUAAGGAUCGGCUAACUCCGUG
rnacentral:rRNA from 1 species